GAUUUGGAGUUUUUUUUUUUUUUAAGUGUUGUUAUCCUUAUUGUUUUAGCUUUGUUUUGGUUGUAAUUUGAGAACAGUAGAUCUUAGGGGAAGCCAUGAAAUAACACAUGUAUUUGUUAUGUAUUCUUUUCAUUUAUUAGUUUUACUUUGAUUAUGAGCUUGGGUGCUGGUUUUGUAGAAUUUUCUUUUAGUUUUGUGAUUAUCUUGUAAUCAGAAGAAAGGAGUGUAAUGGAAAAUUAUUUCAA